CGCGUAGGCGGCCGAUUAAGUCGGGGGUGAAAGCCUGUGGCUCAACCACAGAAUUGCCUUCGAUACUGGUUGGCUUGAGACCGGAAGAGGACAGCGGAACUGCGAGUGUAGAGGUGAAAUUCGUAGAUAUUCGGAAGAACACCAGUGGCGAAGGCGACACACUGGCUCAUUACUGACGCUGAGGCUCGAAGGCGUGGGGAGCAAACA
rnacentral:rRNA from 1 species